AGGGGGAGCAGGCGGCGGCCGGCACCCGGCGAGCUCCCCGGGGGGCCCGGCUCGGGGAGGGGGCCCCCCCCCCCGCACCCAGCCAGCUCCCCAGGCCUGGCCACGGAGUGAGCCCGUCCCGGUGACGCCCCGGGAGGCCGUGCCACCUCGGCCCGGAGCCCGGGCCCUGAAUCGGCCUUGUGUCCGAGCGGCCACCUGACCCCGGGGCCGUGCCACCUCUCCCGGCCUCGGUUUCCCCAGCCACAGGAGGCACAGGGAGGACGGCUCCUACCACUCAGGGCUGCCGGACGACGGAAUGAAAAACGCACACGUCGGGCCGAGCACCGGGCCGGGCAGCCGGCCGCCUUGCCCAGAGGGGCCGCGAGGCCGCCAUGAGGUCGGGUCCAGGCACGUCACCACACCCUCUGAGACCAUCGCAGACCCCUCGGCCCCACGAAAGCCAAUCCUGGCCACCACACGGGGCAAAGGCAAAGCGUGCCCGUGCUCCAGCCCUCAGACCUGGCCAGCGGGCCUGAGGGUUUUUAACGCCGUGCUCUCAUUCGGAGAUUUAUCAGACUCCGCUGGCCUCCGCCGAAGGCGGCCGGGCCACGUCCGUGCGGCCACUCUGUCUGCCCAAGUCUCUCCCUCGGCCCUUUACGUGGCCAGGCACCUGCCGUCCCUGUGCCUGGGGAGCCCCAGGGCUGUCAGGGUGAGAUGGGGGCUCCCCAGGCAGGGGGGUACAGCGUGGACUGACCGUGGCCGGGCCUGCCGCCUCGGCUCAUGGGCCUGCCGGCAGCGCCUGGGAGUAAGGGGCUGUCUGGACACCUGAGCAACCGGGGACGGGAGCUCAAGCUCAGAUCCGGUGGUGCCCAAGAAGGAGGUGGAGGGACGAGGCGACUGAGCAGGAAGGAAGCAGCCCAGGAGGAGCCCUCUGGUCCUCGGGCUCUGGUCUCACGCACACCGCCACGUGACCAGCUCGACAGCUGAUGCCAGAGACAAAGCAGGUCUACUCAGAGAACCCACCUCUCGGCCACGGACGGGGCCGCAGGCCCGGCCGCGUGUCCAAGGGUCCCACUACAGCGGCCACACGGCUUUCUGACCCAUUCGGAAUCCGAUGCAAACAAGCCUGCCAUCUGGAAUCUCACAGCAAGGACUGUCUCCCAGUCCAGCGUUGACUCCUGAAGCCGCCCCCACCGAGUGAAAGCUUAUGUUGGGAGGGUUUUCUGCCUCAUGCCACGCCAUUCCAGCGUUUCCCACUUAGAUUUUACCAAUCCCACCCACACGGCCUCAGAAGUUGUUUUGGUCACCCCCCCCCCAAAGAGAGAUCUCUUCAGAGCAUUUUGGGGGGUCAGGGUAAACAGACCACAGCUGAGCAGUCCCAGGAUUUAAAAAAUUAAAAAAAAAAAAAAGGGGAGGGGGAUGCAAAAGCAGUUUUAAAAAACGAAACUUCAUUUUUUGAAAGCCAAAUAUUAUCAUCUGCCAACAAAGACUCACGGGGGAAGGGGAAGCUUGGCAGGGAGCGGACUCUCAUCCCUCACCCGGACUGGGGCCACUCCCUCCCCUGUCCUCACCCGCUUCGAAGGGGCGUCCAGGCCGAGGACCCCCUCAGCUGGCAGGGAGCCCAGGCCGAUUAUCCCCCGCGGCCUUUCCAACGUCCCCCUAACGCCAGGAAGACGUUCUUAUUCCCGGCCCCAGGCGGAUCCGUUCCUCCGAGCCCCUAACUCGAGCCUGGGAGCCGGGCCUGGUUUCUCAGGGCGCCUUCCUGGCUGCGUCGAGGCUGGCGAUUUAGCAGGAACGGGGCUGGACCCUAUCCACAGAGCAGGAAGAGGGAGAUGACUACUGGAUAAGCGUCAGAGGGAAGUUCUGUUCAUUUUAGUAAUUCAGAAAACGUCCGUCCAGUGCUGACUCCGGGCCGGUUUGUCAGGAGUGACAAACACACCCUCUCCGGCCAGCGAGGGUACGUGAGGGUUAGCGUGCGGCUUACCCGUGGCAGGCCGGACUCCCUGACAGCCUGCGGACUCCUCCCGAGUUCAUCGGAGAAUGGAUUCUGGGAGGAGUAAAGGGCCCCAGAAAGUCACAAAUAUUACCCCAAAUCGCCCUCGAUGGCUUCCUCCUCCGGGAACGGACCCUUCCUCGAACAGUCCCGAUUUUCCUCACUUGCCCUGGACUACCCAUCACCUCCAGCAGACAAAGGCCCAACGGGGUCUAGCCCAAGGGAGGGUCCCUCCAGCCCCCACCAUCCAACACCCGGAAACCUGGCCGCCUUUCCGGUGCUUGCGGAUGUGCCCUCGCACCCUUGAGAAAGAGAUCACAGAAGGGAAAAAUUAAACUUGAGAAAGUUAGCCUCCACUCAA